ACGAGCUCCUGUGAUGUUACAGUAGAUAUACAGAUAUCGGACAGUCUAAAGGACUAAAUUUACCUCCUCGAAACUGUAUAGUCAGCGUUGCAGAUCUGACAAGCUAAUACGUCUAUAUCUCGAUUAAUCUACAUCAAAUUUUUGUAUAUACGGUAUGAUCCAUUUAAUAAAGAAUCAUUUUUAAAAAGUGUUUACUGUGGAUGCUACGAGCGGCCAUGUUGAUUUAACGUUACUCGCUAAACUCAGGGCUGAGGAAACCAGUAGGAAUUCCUAGCCGAGGGAGUGUUUUCCUAACCCGAGUUCGGAAAUUUACGAGUUACCGCUUUAGUCGAACGCAGCAGAUAUCCCACUAUGGCAUUGUGGGUAAUGUAGGAACCCGGUAACCGAAUAUUCAGCUAAAUAAACCCUGGACACCAUUCGAGAUUUUUUCUUGCGCAAUAGUGUUUUUUUUAUUCGCCCGCACGUACAAAACUCACCUGGCUAGAGUGGAUUUCCCGGAACCUGGGACUCCUCUCAUCAAAAUCAACACCAAAGACGGACCUUCGCUACGCUCGUGUUGGUUCACGUCCUGAUAAUUCUGCUCCUCAUACCGCCACAGUUUGAACACUUCAUACGGAGCGGGGCUGUGAGACGAAGCGAGUCUGACGUCGGGACCGAGCCAGAAGUACUGGUGUGUUUGAGGCUGCGAGUACAGCGGGGGCGUGGGAUUUGGUGGAUAGAAGUAGAAGUUCGGUGAAGGAAGAUGCCACUGAUUUGGAUAUCUGUGUGAGUUUGACCAAUCGCAGGUCACGUCAUAAGACUGAGGUCUCCAUUGUGGCGUGUUCCUGUAGUCUGUCCGUGGCCGUGUGGCUGGAAAAGACCUGUAUCUCUGGUCACUCCCCUUAUCUUUUACGGCUGGAGUGCAGAACUGAGACGCUCGCUCACUACUCCCAUCUACAGCGUCUCGCUGGUCGAUUUGCUCGAGCUCUUUAUAAAACUCACUCAGCUCGUCCUCGAUCGCAGACUGCGGUCGACACGUCGGACCGAUGAAAGCGGCGCUGCUGGUGCCGAUCUCUUUAAUGACCUCAUCUCUGUUCCUCGCCUGACUGCACGCUCGCUCGUCAUCUCCAGAGGUUUUCUCCUCACCUUUAUUAAGCCGCUCCGACCCGUGAUUCACCUCCACCACCUCCGGCCGUUCCAACACGCCUUCCCGCUGUUCAGGAAGUCCGGGAACAGGAGCGGACUCUGGAAAUGUCCGGCUGUAGCUCAGCGUUUCGGCUCGGUCGAGCUGCUGUGGAUCUUCGACACUUCCACUCACAGGUGGAGGAGAAGAUCCAGGUGGAGUCACAUUAGGCAUCUGGAAAGAAUCGGAACAUUUCCUGAGACAUGCCUGAGACAAACAUGACAUCGGGUUCCACUCCUGUCAGACAAGAACAGAAAUCUGAUUCUACAGCGGGCUUAGAAUCCAAUCUUACCGAAUC
ensembl:lncRNA